rnacentral:misc_RNA from 1 species
GGGAAGUUUUUUAGCCUCCUUAACCCAUAUAUCUAAAUUACCAUGCACAAGGCAAAUUUUCGAAGACCCUUUAUUGGUCUGGAAUGGCACUUCUUCUUGACCCUGCAUAUGACGUGAGCCACCUAACGAGAAUGAAUGAUCAAUAGUAUUUUGAGCCAUAAUAGAUAAGAUUUCUCGCUCAGAACGAGCAGAUAUCCAAUAACAAGUGAUGGAAAUUGUUUAAACUGGGCGAAUGGAUCUCCAAAUCAAAAUUUGACAAAUACCCAGUUCAUAUGAAGGUAAAAUCAAGUAGUUGGCAGUCACCAAACGAAUACUGAAUGUGGGCAACUCUAGAUAGGCAAGAAAUGAGUGAGAAAAAAAAAAAAGAAAAAAAAAAAAAAA